rnacentral:antisense_RNA from 1 species
UCGAUGUAGUAGAACGCCUGGUGCGCGGAG